AUCAUGUGAACUAAAACAAAUGUUGAACUAUUUUGAUAAGGUUUACAAAGCCAGCAGUGGCCUCAAGAUUGCUGUUGAACUUUGUGGUGAGCUAAAACUGAUUAAUUGUGCAUAAUAAUUUCUAGUAGCAGUAAUUGAACUAUUUUGGUCGCUGAUCUCAAAAGAGGUUAAGGCUAAUCACCCAAAGAUUAUCAGCUUGCUGGGGUUGUUGCGGUUGAAGUCACAGGAGGGCCAACCAUCGACUUUGUUCCAGGAAGAAUGGAUUGCGCAGAUUCUCCUGAUGAAGGACGCCUUCCUGAUGCAAAUCAAGGUACGU